rnacentral:piRNA from 1 species
UUCGUAUGUUGAGUUAAUGGC